rnacentral:rRNA from 1 species
GGGUUGUGAGGUUAAGCGACUAAGCGUACACGGUGGAUGCCCUGGCAGUCAGAGGCGAUGAAGGACGUGCUAAUCUGCGAUAAGCGCCGGUAAGGUGAUAUGAACCGUUAUAACCGGCGAUUUCCGAAUGGGGAAACCCAGUGUGACUCGUCACACUAUCAUUAACUGAAUCCAUAGGUUAAUGAGGCGAACCGGGGGAACUGAAACAUCUAAGUACCCCGAGGAAAAGAAAUCAACCGAGAUUCCCCCAGUAGCGGCGAGCGAACGGGGAGGAGCCCAGAGCCUGAAUCAGCAUGUGUGUUAGUGGAAGCGUCUGGAAAGGCGCGCGAUACAGGGUGACAGCCCCGUACACAAAAGCGCAUGUGCUGUGAGCUCGAUGAGUAGGGCGGGACACGUGGUAUCCUGUCUGAAUAUGGGGGGACCAUCCUCCAAGGCUAAAUACUCCUGACUGACCGAUAGUGAACCAGUACCGUGAGGGAAAGGCGAAAAGAACCCCGGCGAGGGGAGUGAAAAAGAACCUGAAACCGUGUACGUACAAGCAGUGGGAGCCCCACCACUAAGCCAGUGGUGAACUCCACAUACGCAUCCUUUGCUGAGGAUACGGUUAACGGAGCGAAAGCGACGUUCAACCUCAAAAGAAGCAGAGGGGGC